rfam:Lepisosteus oculatus linkage group LG1, whole genome shotgun sequence.
GCCAGCAGCCAUAUCACCCUGCAACUCACAGCUGGCAACCCACUGAAGCUAAGCUUAGCAGGUGUGAGCCUGGUCAGUACCUGGAUGGGAGACCUCCUGGGAAAAACUAAGGUUGCUGCUGGAA